GUGCCAGCCGCCGCGGUAAUACGUAGGAGGCGAGCGUUAUCCGGAUUUACUGGGCGUAAAGCGCGUGCAGGCGGUAUGGUAAGUUGGAUGUGAAAUCUCCUGGCUCAACUAGGAGACGUCGUUCAAAACUACCAAACUAGAGAACGGCAGAGGAAGGUAGAAUUCCCGGUGUAGUGGUGAAAUGCGUAGAUAUCGGGAGGAAUACCAGUGGCGAAGGCGGCCUUCUGGGCCGUUUCUGACGCUCAGACGCGAAAGCAUGGGUAGCGAACGGGAUUAGAUACCCUUGUAGUCC
rnacentral:rRNA from 1 species